GGGGCAGCAUAUAGAUUGCUUGCAAUUUAUGAUGGCGACCGGCGCACGGGUGAGUAACGCGUAUCCAACCUACCCAUUACUAGGGAAUAACCCAGCGAAAGUUGGCCUAAUGCCCUAUGUAGUCGUUUGAUCGCCUGAGAUUUCGACGAAAGAUUUAUCGGUAUUGGAUGGGGAUGCGUCUGAUUAGCUUGUUGGCGGGGUAAAGGCCCACCAAGGCAACGAUCAGUAGGGGUUCUGAGAGGAAGGUCCCCCACAUUGGAACUGAGACACGGUCCAAACUCCUACGGGAGGCAGCAGUGAGGAAUAUUGGUCAAUGGGCGAGAGCCUGAACCAGCCAAGUAGCGUGCAGGAUGACGGCCCUAUGGGUUGUAAACUGCUUUUAUAUGGGAAUAAAGUGAGGGACGUGUCCCUUAUUGCAUGUACCAUACGAAUAAGGACCGGCUAAUUCCGUGCCAGCAGCCGCGGUAAUACGGAAGGUCCAGGCGUUAUCCGGAUUUAUUGGGUUUAAAGGGAGCGCAGGCUGUUUGUUAAGCGUGUUGUGAAAUGUAGGAGCUCAACUUUUAGAUUGCAGCGCGAACUGGCAGACUUGAGUGCGCACAACGUAGGCGGAAUUCAUGGUGUAGCGGUGAAAUGCUUAGAUAUCAUGAC
rnacentral:rRNA from 1 species